GGCUCGGUAGCGGAGGGUCCGCAUCUGCCAAUAUGCCUCUUGUAUGACAUUGAUGCAGAUAAAGCCUGUUCGACUCAGGUCCGAGCCA